rnacentral:rRNA from 1 species
AGAGUUUGAUCAUGGCUCAGGAUGAACGCUGGCGGUAUGCCUAACACAUGCAAGUCGAACGAUGUCUUCGGACAUAGUGGCGGACGGGUGAGUAACGCGUGAGAAUCUGCCUCUAGGAUGGGGAUAACGGUUGGAAACGACCGCUAACACCCAAUAUGCCGUAAGGUGAAAAAUUUAUUGCCUGGAGAGGAGCUCGCGUCUGAUUAGCUAGUUGGUGGGGUAAGAGCUCACCAAGGCUUCGAUCAGUAGCUGGUCUGAGAGGAUGAGCAGCCACACUGGGACUGAGACACGGCCCAGACUCCUACGGGAGGCAGCAGUGGGGAAUUUUCCGCAAUGGGCGAAAGCCUGACGGAGCAAUACCGCGUGAGGGAGGAAUGCCUUUGGGUUGUAAACCUCUUUUCUCAGGGAAGAAGAUCUGACGGUACCUGAGGAAUAAGUAUCGGCUAACUCCGUGCCAGCAGCCGCGGUAAUACGGAGGAUGCAAGCGUUAUCCGGAAUCAUUGGGCGUAAAGCGUCCGCAGGUGGUUUCCAAAGUCUGCUGUUAAAGACUGGAGCUCAACUCCGGAACGGCGGUGGAAACUUGGAAACUAGAGUUCGGUAGGGGUAGCAGGAAUUCCCAGUGUAGCGGUGAAAUGCGUAGAUAUUGGGAAGAACAUCGGUGGCGAANGCGUGCUACUGGACCGUAACUGACACUCAGGGACGAAAGCUAGGGGAGCGAAAGGGAUUAGAUACCCCCUGUAGUCCUAGCUGUAAACGAUGGAAACUAGGUGUGGCUUGUAUCGACCC